rnacentral:misc_RNA from 1 species
GGACUACUAGGGUUUCUAAUCCCUUUCGCUCCCCUAGCUUUCGUCCCUCAGCGUCAGUUGUGGCCCAGUAGAGCGCCUUCGCCACUGGUGUUCUUCCCGAUAUCUACGCAUUUCACCGCUACACCGGGAAUUCCCUCUACCCCUACCACACUCAAGCUCUCCAGUUUCCAUUGCCGAUCCACAGUUGAGCUGUGGGCUUUGACAACAGACUUAAAAAGCCGCCUGCGGACGCUUUACGCCCAAUAAUUCCGGAUAACGCUUGCCUCCUCCGUCUUACCGCGGCGGCUGGCAC